UUCCGGUUGAUCCUGCCGGACCUGACUGCUAUCGGAUUGAUACUAAGCCAUGCGAGUCAUUGUAGCAAUACAAGGCAGACGGCUCAGUAACGCGUAGUCAACCUAACCUAUGGACGGGAAUAACCUCGGGAAACUGAGAAUAAUGCCCGAUAGAACACUAUGCCUGGAAUGGUUUGUGUUCCAAAUGAUUUAUCGCCGUAGGAUGGGACUGCGGCCUAUCAGUUUGUUGGUGAGGUAAUGGCCCACCAAGACUAUUACAGGUACGGGCUCUGAGAGGAGUAGCCCGGAGAUGGGUACUGAGACACGGACCCAGGCCCUAUGGGGCGCAGCAGGCGAGAAAACUUUGCAAUGAGCGAAAGCACGACAAGGUUAAUCCGAGUGGUUUCUGCUAAAGGAACCUUUUGUCGGUCCUAGAAACACCGAUGAAUAAGGGGUGGGCAAGUUCUGGUGUCAGCCGCCGCGGUAAAACCAGCACCUCAAGUGGUCAGGAUGAUUAUUGGGCCUAAAGCAUCCGUAGCCUGCUUUGUUAGUUUUCGGUUAAAUCUAUACGCUCAACGUAUAGGCUGCCGGGAAUACUGCAAAGCUAGGGAGUGGGAGAGGUAGACGGUACUCGGUAGGAAGGGGUAAAAUCCUUUGAUCUAUUGAUGACCACCUGUGGCGAAGGCGGUCUAGCAGAACACGUCCGACGGUGAGGGAUGAAAGCUGGGGGAGCAAACCGGAUUAGAUACCCGGGUAGUCCCAGCCGUAAACCAUGCAAACUCAGUGAUGCAUUGGCUUGUGGCCAAUGCAGUGCUGCAGGGA
rnacentral:rRNA from 1 species